rnacentral:rRNA from 1 species
AGCGAACGCUAGCGGAUGGCUUAACACAUGCAAGUCGAGCGGGCAGCUUCGGCUGUCUAGCGGCGAACGGGUGCGUAACACGUGGGUAAUCUGCCUUCUGGUGGGGGAUAACCCGACGAAAGUCGGGCUAAUACCGCAUAUGGCCUACGGGUCAAAGCAGCAAUGCGCCAGUUGAUGAGCCCGCGGCCCAUUAUUUAAUCCUAGUUGGCGGGGUAACGGCCCACCAAGGGUACGAUGGGUAGCUGGUCUGAGAGGACGAUCAGCCACACUGGGACUGAGACACGGCCCAGACUCCUACGGGAGGCAGCAGUGGGGAAUAUUGCGCAAUGGGCGAAAGCCUGACGCAGCCAAUCCGCGUGGGUGAUGAAGGCCUCGGUUGUAAGACCUGUCGUGUAGGGACGAAGUUACUGACGGUACCGUCACAAGAAAGACACCGGC